rnacentral:lncRNA from 1 species
UGGACAUGAAAAUGAAGAUAAGAGAUUUGGGGUGGUUGCCAUAAUCUUCAAUCCUGGGUAGGGAAGAUGUAGGUCUUUGAAUCUAACAUGCUUGCUAGGUUUGCUUUGGCCUUGGCCUCUUUUGAGAUAUUUUCUUGUCUUCAUGGAAGUAGAAGAGAAGAGUGAGUGCUUUCCUAACCCUCCCUAGCAUUAACAUCGUUCUUUAUCAAAACCUAAACCCUAGGUUAGGUUCUAAAAAUAAUGCAAACAAAAAAUCAGUUUGUGUUGCUUGUAAGAGAUGAGUUGCUUGUGAAUAUUGAGGAUAUUGUUAAAUUGAUUUGGGAAUAAAGUAAGGAAAAAGAAAGAGAUUGGGUGAAAAGACCGGUGAUGGAAGAAAGGGUUGUCGACUGUCGAGGAUGAAGAGAUCGGUGGUGGUGCUUUUUGUUGAUAAUGGAGGUCUAGUUUGGAAGGAGGGCUAUUAGGGCGAAAGUAUUGCAUCAUGAAAAGAUAAAAUUGAAUUAUUU